GCAUUCAGUGCUGAUGGAAAUUUUCUUGCAUCUGGAAGUUUUGAUGCAAUCAUUCAAGUGUGGGAUACAAUUUCAAACACUCUAAAAUGUACGCUUGAAGGUCCUGUGGGUGGCAUUGAGGUAAACCUUGGGAAUUUACCAUACAAGCUAAAUUUGCCCAUCUAAGUAAACUCUUUAUCUUCAUUUUUUUGUACAUAUUUCAAAUGAUCUAAAUUUUAAAUUACUCUAUUUAAGAUCAUGUAUCCAUCCAGCACUGUAACACACCCUUUUUAUACUUUUUCAAAUACCCUAAAAAUAUUCUUGAAAAUCCUUAUGGAUCCAUUUUGGUAAUCCUUGUAAAUUUAUUAUGUUAGUUUAUCUAGGUAAAUGGUUUAUUCAUGACCAAUUAAUUUAAUUACAC
rnacentral:lncRNA from 1 species